ACUGCCACGCGCUAACGGCCGCACGGUAGCGGGGGCGGGGGGGGGAGGGAGGCAGGCAGGAGCGCUCGCGCUCCACGCCCGCAGCGAACCGCUGGCUCCAUCCCGCCGCUCGGGCGGGCGCCCCGUGCGCGUCGGCUGCCUGCCCUGACGUGACCGACGGCGGCUCCGCUCCCCGGCGUCCCCGUCCCUCCGGAGCGGCUCCCGCAGCAGCCAGCGGAGAAAUCCUGCGGCGCCCGGGCCCCAGGGAACCGCGCUUUCCGUGUGUAUUAAACAGAUCUUUUUUAAAAAUCGUAUAUAUCCCGCGCGACAGUCAGCCGCCCCCACCUCGGGCCGGGCUCCUGUGAGCCUGGGCGGCCGCGCACCGGCCUCGCCACCGCGCCCCAGCUGCGGGAAAGGACAUCGGGUGAAGUGAUUCAGGGACGGAAAGGCUGAGCUGUUUUAGCUUUUUUUUUUUCCUUGUCUUUUUGUUUCGAGAUAACACGGAAAAGUUGCUAGAACGGGCUUUAAAGCACACAAAGAGUAUCCAAGUAUUUUCCCUUUAAGGACCAUCCCUCCCCCCCCCCCCUUUUUUUUAAAGCCUGAAAAGUAAGUAUGGAUUAGAGUAAUUGCCUACACUUUUUUUCAGUCUUUCUUAUCUAAGUUACAGAUUAGACCGCAUUGUUCGACCAGGUUUGAUUAUUUGCACAGCGAGUCCCUUUGGAAUGGAUCAAAACAAUCAUUUUGGACCAGACUAUUGAAAGUAUUUAGACUGCUUCCACAUAGGCUUUUGACAUCUGCAGUGUACUAGAGGAAGAGGUCCUUGCUCAAUGCAACUUGACUAUACGUUGUGUGAAAUGUUUGAGUGCUAAAGGCCUAGAGAGAUCUGCAGUAGUUCAUAGGCAACCAGACAUAAUGGAAGCAAGCGACUGAAGGAUACCAAGAUGGACUUACUAAGGGAAGAAAAAAAAUACAGGGUGGGAAAGAGAGAUCCAGUUGCAUUCCACAUUAAGCAAAGCAGUCAGUUUCAAAGAUGCCCUAUUCAAAGAAUGAAAUCUUCUAUUUGGUAAUACCUCUGGUCUGAAGAAUUAUUAUUCCUGUUCAUUUAAUGAUGUGAUAAACACAGCUUUAAAAUAUUUUGGUGCCACAGAAUCUGUUGUGAAUGAGACAUCUGUAGUCACAAAUUUAUUUGAUAUAUACUUCUUAAAAUCAAAAACAGAUGUGCAGAUGUGUUGACUAUAUAGUGAUAUGCUAAUAACUGCCGCAGAGAUUUUUAGAUACUAGCUAGUGUCAAGGCAGGGUUAUAUCGAGGCUGUCUGGAAUUAAUUUAGAGCCCUUCAGGCCCAUCACUGAAUCCUUCCAUGGACCAGGCUUAGAAGCCAAGGGUUGCGCCAAAUACUCUGGAUUUAGAAUUAUCCUUACAUCAAUGGAAUUUGUUCAUAAUUUAAGCAUGUAUGAUGCACUGUCUGAGCUCAGUGGUCUGUCAAAACGAUUGCAGACAAUGGAUAUUACACUGCCAGAAGCUCUCUCACGUUUGUCAGGACAGGGUUUGAUUUCUGCUUGCAUUGUUGUUUGUUUAGGAAUAUAUGCAAUAAAGAUGGCAGUGCCAAAUAAAAUUUGUACUGUGAAAACAGGGAUACGCAUGACGGCAAAGCUGUUAAAAUCCAUGUAGCAAAAUUAGGCGCUUGGCAAACAAUAAAAAAAAAAACUGGCUGAUGACAGCAAGACUUUUUAAGACUAAAGCUUACCCAAACAUCUAUUUUUUCCUGCAUGUUAAUUCUGUAUUGUAGUCUUUCCUAAUCAAAAACUGAAUCCAUGCUAGGAAUGAGUUGAGUCACUUUUUGAAGAGUGUGGUCCACAAAUACCAGAAUUGUUGCCUAAAUAGUAACUGACUAUUACAGUAAGUUUAACGCUCCCAUAGAACUUGAAAAUGCCAGUAAAGAGAAAUGUCACAGAAAUCUUAAUGUCUUACCAGGAAUAGUAAGUAAUUCCUAUGGUCUUCUCUCUCUCUUUCUCUCUUUUUUUUUUUUUUUUUUUUUUUUUUAAAGUACUUGCUUUAAUAGCCUUUGGCAAAUUUAUUUCUGUAUGUGAAUGUAUUUCCAUUUUUCAAGAAGAAACUUUUGGCAAUAAUACAUGGGGCAAAACCACAUUGUGAACAUUUGAAUAUUUUAUUGUGUGAUCCUACAUAUAAGUACUCAUUGUAAAAUAUUUAUGGAAUACAAAUGCCUAACUAAGAAGGCAAUACUUUGUCUAGCCAUUAAUUUAACAUGACAAUAAUGUCUGUCGUAAGGAAAUGGGAUCCAUUAGUGGUCUCACGGAUUACAAAGGCUUUAUCUCUGUAUCACUUUAUCAGUGAUUUCUGACCCUUGCUGACAAUUAUACUUAAUUCUUUCAUAGGUAGAAAUGUUGAAAAAUUUCAUCACUAAUAUAAUUGAUAUAGUGUUAAUUCAUGAACUCAUGUAUCAUUUAUAGAUGUCUGUCUCAAAUGUUAUAUAUCCACUGCUGAGUGUUUGAUGACAGUUUGGUUUUGAUUCAAUUAUACUCAUAGUCAAAAAUAAUUCCAACAAUAUGAAUCAAUAGUAGCAAUUAAUAUAUUUGACAGUUUAUGCAUCAAUAUGCACACUGAAAUUGAUCUUUUAUCCUCAGAACCUUAAAAUAAUAACUGCCAUUCUUUUUCAUUGAAAUAAAAAGCUUAACAGAUUUUCAUAAAACUCCAAUAAUAUAUUUUAUAAUACUCCCGUAAAUUACAAUAGUAGUUCAGUUAUUGUUUGAUGACUCAGACAAUACUAUGUACACUGUUUAAAUCAUAACUUCUAGGUUAGCGAGCAAUUUACAGCUCAAAAUAGAUUUUUCUUGUGCAAUUCAUGUAUAUUAUACAGAAACUCUUCCUCACUCAGAACUAAGAAAUAAAUUUCAGGUCCAAGAAAUAAAUGGCAGUAAUAUCCAUGUGAAUUUCUCUCUAAAUAUAUUUUUGUUUUAUUCAAACAAGAACUUAGAAAUAAAAACUAUUUCCAUGACCAGGAUAUGCUACAACAGCUCUACUGUUUUGAACCUUGUACCCCUUGUUUGUUCCAGGAUUAGACAGAAAGAACCAGACUCUUUUCUGCAGUUCUCUUUCCACAGGGAUUAUUUUAGCCAGCUUUCAGCAUUGCCUGGUCUUUCCCAGCCAGCUUUGAUGAUCAAACAAGAUUAGUUGCCCUGAAGGCCUGUCCCAAAAAGGACAAGCGAUGUCAGUUUACAAAAGCUAUGGAUUUUAAAAAAUUAGGACUAGACUUUAAAAAUUAUUGUAGUUAACAAUUUUUAUGACAAAAUAUUCCAGUGUUUUAAAUUGGUCAGUAGUUUAAAAAAUGUUAAACAAUGCCUUUGGCAACAUGAAUGCCAGGCUUUUGUAGAGAAAGAAAUGUCUGCACCUCUCCUGAGAACUUGCAAAAGAAUAGGAAAGGAAUUUAGCAUCAUUUAUAGAGACAAGUUAUUUUUUUCUGUUUACAGUACUAAAUACAAAAUGAUAGAUUUUUUUUCCUUUGUGAGCGCUUCUGAGAUCAUCUUUAAAUGAUUCUAAAGACAAGUAUGUACCUUUAUAGCUGUCAUAAAUUUUUGCCCUCAGUCUUAACCUAGUUGAUGAAAAUGUCAUCUAUGACCAAUGUCCCACACGAAUGCUUACAAUUAAGUAGUCCUUUCACCUUAUAAAAUACCUAUUAAUGAAGUAAAUUUAUUACCUGCAUUAAAUCCAAAUAUGGACUGUUGACAUUGUUGAGAGUAAGACUGUUCUCAAAAAAAAGUCAAAAUGUUCAGUCCUGAAUGUAUGGUGAGAAUAUCCAAUUUAAUCUGCUCUUAAAUAGUCUUAUUUUGAUGAAACCAACCCAUGUACCUGAAGCUGGAAUGUGUAUGUAUGUCGGUCUGGAAUAAGGGUGUUUGGGCCACUAUUUAAACCCAGUUUUAUUUUGGAGAUUUAAGAUCCAGGUUUGUGGCAUUGCAAUCAAAAGACACAGAUCAGUGACUUAAGAGGCACUUAAUGUGAAGUGAUCAUCAACCACGGUGACUUGAGACUAAAUUAGGUGUAAAUGCAGUCCCAACUAAAUACAGCAUGUCAAACUGAAGGGUCUUCUGAAACAAAUGUGAUUGCUAUUUCUGCCCUCCAGUAUUUGCAGGCUACAGUGGACAAGAAGACAAUUAUUUUAUUUUUCUUUUAAUAGGGGAAGGAAGAACAUCACUGUUUUAAGGUCCAUCUUCUGUAGUUCAUUCUCCCGAUUAUCGUUUUUAAGAGUCUUGUACUCUGUUCCAGAAGAAGGUAUCCACCUCCUCUCAUGUUGGCCUAGAUGACUGACCAUCAAAUGGACUUUCACCAUAUGAUAGAAAAAAGGGAGCUAACUGUACAAAUUAAACUCUUUCUGUCUCAGGAUUUUGCUGUCCUUAGUUUCUCACAGUGUUCCACAUUUCAUUUAGAUAGGGAUAGCAUUUUUAUAAAACUUUUAAGAGUUGCUUGCCUAAUGCAGCUCACUUUUUGUUACUCUAUGCCACCUGUUCUAGGAGCAAUCUGACUUUCCUUGGCUGGUGAGCUUUACUUCAUCCUUCCUCCUUAGCAAAAGAGUACCUUCCAGUCUCCUCAGGCUAAUAUUGACCACUUCUUUCCCCAAGUAGUAAUAGUCAAACUCCCAACAAUUCCUAGAUAUUAAGCAAUGGAUUUUAUUUUUUUUUAAAUUUGAGGAAGAUUGAGAUUAAUUGAUACCACUUUUAGCAAUCUGCUGUGCCUAGAUAGCACGAAACCUGCAGUGCCCUGGGAGUGUUACCACUGACCACAGUGGAGCCAAUCUUUUACCAAAAAACUCCAUACAACUGCAGGAGUACAGCACACAGCAGCACAGCGGUUAAUGUAGAUUGACAGUCAGUUGGAUCCCAAAAGGGGAGUGGGGAAUGUUUCUUCUAGUAAUCAGCAGAAGAGGAGGCAUAAUGGCCUGGCCUUUUAGUUCCUGUAUAUUAAUCUCUGCAGAGCAAUGCCUGCCAUUGCUCAGAUAUCAGAUGCUGUUUAUAACUAUGCUGGAAACAACAUAGAACACAAUAGUAUAAUUAAUUUCUCUUGAGACUGUAUAUGCACUUUUUAGGUUAGCUAUUUUUUCACUGCUUCACUUGGUUCAAACAUUGCAUCAGCAGUAUUGCAAGGUGGCUCGAAAAGUUGUUUUUUCCAUUAAUUUCUCCAGCUGCUCUCUCAAUCCACAACCAAAAGCCUAGGAUGUGUUGAGGUGCAAAGGUUUUCACAGCACAGGUAUGCCGUGUCUCAGGGGGUGGCUUGUCUUUUAAUGACACCCAAUACCAGUGUUGGAGGACAGAGAGAAGCAUUGUAUCUGUUCAGCAUCGCCAUGCCAGAUGUGAUUUGAUGAGUCUUCAUCACCUUUCCUUGUUUAUCUGUUAUUUAGACUGAAGACUUCUACUGUCUACUUUCGUUCUUUAUAAGAAGUCAUUCCAUAAUUUGAAUCGUUCUUUCCACUUUUCCCACUGCCUUCAGUACUGCCACAUCAUUUUAAGGUGGGAAACAGGGAUAACAGCCAGUAUUCAAGUCUGAAUGGUGUCAGAUGCAGUAUGGAUUUAUAUGGCAGCACACUAAUGCUUUACUUUUUGUCCCAAUAAUGCCUAACAUUUAAUCUGGCUGUUACCAAGUAUUGAACAUGUUUUUGUAGAGCUAUCAAUUGUGUAUUCAUAUCUCUGAAGUGAUCCUGAUUAUCAGGUUGCCAACUGGGAAGCUAAAAGCCAGAAAAUGUUCUUUUCUCUGAACAUAGAUGGUUUAUAAGUAGAUUAUUGAAAUGUGAGGAUGGUUUUAGUUUUACUAUUCAGUCCUGUAGUCUUUUAUAUUGCCAUUUUUUGAUGUCAUAUGUUGAUUGCUGCUUGUCAUUCACUUUUUUCUCUACAAUUAAAUUUGUAUUUCUUUAAUCCUCUUUUUCUAUUAAUUCAAACCUGUUAUAGAACUAUGCAAGCAUAUCUUAAUACUGGUGUUAGGACUGUUACCAAAGAAAAUGUUUGAUGCACUUUCCUAUAGCUUUUAGGAUUAUAAAAUUAAUACCUGUGAUAUGGACAAUUGGGAUAGUUUUGUAGAUAGUAAUGGAUCAAAUAUAGCAGUGGCAAAAUCAGUGAAAAGUUGUGUCCCAUGUUGCCUCAUCGAUGUGUCUCAUGACACGGCCUGGAGAAAACAGCAGUUUGACCAUCUUGGUCACUCAGCACUGUUUUUUUAGCUGUGUCGAUCAACUGCGUCUCUGCUACCAUAGUCUUUUGUCACGUGGAUUUUUAUCUUCUAUGAAGCUGUCUAAAACUGUCAGAUCAUUUCGUGCAGGCCACUGUACCACCAUUAAAGGUAGCAAGGGCAACAUUUUCUCAGGUGCAGAGGUCAACAUAAUCCUUAUGCAUCACUUAAAUUUUACUGAAACUCUCAUUUAAGACCUUUAUUCAAAUUUUCUAACAGCUUUGGAUGACUGACAAACCACUAACUUCGCUAAUUUCAGUAACUGUUUGCCAUACUUGGGCAAAAUAUAUGUAAAAUGCUUCCUUUCUGAUUUGAUGCCUUUGUUAUCUGAAAAAGAGCUAUUUGAUUUUACCUUGUUCAUUCCUUUCUCUCAUUUUGUAUUUAAAUAUUGUACUCUGGGUUCAAAUAGAUCAGUGGGGAAUAGGUUGGGUGCUUUUUAACACCAAAGCACUGCGAUGUAAUCAGAAGUACAUGACAAACCCACUGCCAUUAGCCCUGCCUAUAGAGGGCUGGUGCUGAGCCCGAAGGGAAGCAGGAGCAGUCAGGAGGAAGUGAAUGACUUCCUUCCACUGUGAGCAUUUCCCCUUUCUGGAGAUUAUUCCUGCCUCUGACAUCCUCUUGUGCCGCUGCCUUGGGAAUAGGCUAAGAGUUGCGCUGCCAAGAGCGGUGGAGAGCAGCUGGAACUCUGUUCCAGGCCACCCUUCCUGCUCCCACGUGACCCGAGUCUGUUUGCUUUAGAAUAAAUUUUUAAUAGCUGGACAUCUGGUUAGUUUGGGUUUGAAUAUAUUUUUCUGUCUGUGUAAUAAAGGAAAAAAGAUUACUCAGGAAAAUACUUAAGUUGUUAUUUUACAAACCUAUGCAAUAGUUCAUAUAGCUUCCAAAAGUUCUUAAUCUAUAUGGCUUUUACUGAUUUUCUAUGUGAAGUUUUAGAAAUCCUGCCUUUUUGUCAUGAAAAUUGUGGCUCCUAACAUUACUUGCUGUAUGUAUACAGAACAAUAGAGAGUCUUGGCAUAGUUUCGCAUUCUAUCAAAACUAACAUGCUUUUGCCAAAA